rnacentral:snoRNA from 1 species
ACCUAAAGAAGUAUUCUUAGGCCAGAGCAAACCCGGCCCCGAACCAUUGCCUGGCCUCUGCCAGUAGGCUGCAGGCACUGAAGUGGGUUGCACAGUG